GAUGAAGAACGUAGCGAAAUGCGAUACGUAAUGUGAAUUGCAGAAUUCAGUGAAUCAUCGAAUCUUUGAACGCAUAUUGCGCUCUCUGGUAUUCCGGAGAGCAUGCUUGUUUGAGUAUCAGUAAACACCUCAACUUCCAUAUCUUUUUUGAAAUGGGAGUUGGACUUGAGUGAUCCCAACGCUUUUCCUCACCGAAAAGUGGCGGGUUACUUGAAAUGCAGGGGCAGCUGGACUUUUCUCUGAGCUAUAAGCAUAUCUAUUUAGUCUGCCUAAAAAACAGAUUAUUACCUUUGCUGCAGCUAACAUAAAGGAGACUAGUUCUUGUGCUGACUGAUGCAGGAUUCACAGAGACAGCUUCGGCUGACUUUGUAAACUCGAUCUCAAAUCAAGUAAGACUACCCGCUGAACUUAAGCAUAUCAAUAAGCGGAGGA
rnacentral:misc_RNA from 1 species